rnacentral:rRNA from 1 species
GAUUAAGUUAUUAAGGGCGCACGGUGGAUGCCUUGGCACUAGAAGCCGACGAAGGACGUUACUAACGACGAUAUGCUUUGGGUAGCUGUAAGUAAGCGUUGAU